rnacentral:rRNA from 1 species
GAUGAACGCUGGCGGCGUGCCUAAUACAUGCAAGUCGAGCGAACGGACGAGAAGUUUGCUUCUCUGAUGUUAGCGGCGGACGGGUGUGUAACACGUGGAUAACUUACCUAUAAGACUGGGAUAACUUCGGGAAACCGGUGCUAAUACCGGCUGAUAUUUUGAACCGCAUGGUUCAAAAGUGACAGACGGUCUUGCUGUCACUUAUAGAUGGAUCCGCGCUGCAUUAGCUAGUUGGUAAGGUAACGGCUUACCAAGGCAACGAUGCAUAGCCGACCUGAGAGGAUGAUCGGCCACACUGGAACUGAGACACGGUCCAGACUCCUACGGGAGGCAGCAGUAGGGAAUCUUCCGCAAUGGGCGAAAGCCUGACGGAGCAACGCCGCGUGAGUGAUGAAGGUCUUCGGAUCGUAAAACUCUGUUAUUAGGGAAGAACAUAUGUGUAAGUAACUGUGCACAUCUUGACGGUACCUAAUCAGAAAGCCACGGCUAACUACGUG